rnacentral:rRNA from 1 species
AUUGAACGCUGGCGGCAGGCCUAACACAUGCAAGUCGAGCGAGCGGCGGACGGGUGAGUAAUGUCUGGGAAACUGCCUGCUGGAGGGGGAUAACUACUGGAAACGGUAGCUAAUACCGCAUCCCAUCGGAUGUGCCCAGAUGGGAUUAGCUAGUGGGUGGGGUAAAGGCUUACCUAGGCGACGAUCCCUAACUGGUCUGAGAGGAUGACCAGCCACACUGGAACUUAGACACGGUCCAGAAUCCUACGGGAGGCAGCAGUGGGGAAUAUUGGACAAUGGGCGCAAGCCUGAUGCAGCCAUGCCGCGUGUAUGAAGAAGGCCUUCGGGUUGUAAAGAACUUUAAGUUGGGAGGCGUUACCAACAGAAUAAGCACCGGCUAACUUCGUGCCAGCAGCCGCGGUAAUAC